rnacentral:rRNA from 1 species
AACGAACGCUGGCGGCAGGCCUAAUACAUGCAAGUCGAACAGAUGUAGCAAUACAUUAGUGGCGCACGGGUGCGGAACACGUGGGAACAUACCCUUUGGUAAGGAAUAAUGUCUGGAAACGGACACUAAUACCUUAUAAUGACUUCGGUCCAAAGAUUUAUCGCCAAAGGAUUGGCCCGCGUCUGAUUAGGUAGUGGGUGGGGUAAUGGCCUACCAAGCCUACGAUCAGUAGCUGGUCUGAGAGGAUGAUCAGCCACACUGGAACUGAGACACGGUCCAGACUCCUACGGGAGGCAGCAGUAAGGAAUAUUGGACAAUGGGCGCAAGCCUGAUCCAGCCAUGCCGCGUGAGUGAAGAAGGCCUUAGGGUUGUAAAGCUCUUUCAAUAGUGAAGAUAAUGACGGUAGCUAUAGAAGAAGCCCCGGCUAAAUUCGUGCCAGCCGCCGCGGUAA